GACGAACGCUGGCGGCGUGCUUAACACAUGCAAGUCGUACGGUAAGGCCCUUUCGGGGGUACACGAGUGGCGAACGGGUGAGUAACACGUGAGUAACCUGCCCACAACUUUGGGAUAACGCUAGGAAACUGGUGCUAAUACUGGAUAUGUGCUCCUGCUGCAUGGUGGGGGUUGGAAAGCUCCGGCGGUUGUGGAUGGACUCGCGGCCUAUCAGCUUGUUGGUGGGGUAGUGGCCUACCAAGGCGGCGACGGGUAGCCGGCCUGAGAGGGUGACCGGCCACAGUGGGACUGAGAUACGGCCCAGACUCCUACGGGAGGCAGCAGUGGGGAAGAUUGCACAAGGGGCGCAAGCCUGAUGCAGCAACGCCGCGUGCGGGAUGACGGCCUUCGGGUUGGAAACCGCUUUCAGCAGGGACGAAGCUUUUUGUGACGGUACCUGCAGAAGAAGCACCGGCUAACUACGUG
rnacentral:rRNA from 1 species